AGCAGCGUGGUCUAGUGGAUAGAGCACUGGUGUAGGAGUCAGUGGACCUAGGUUCUAAUCCUAGCUCUGCCA
rnacentral:tRNA from 1 species